GACGGGGGAUGCAAGUGUUAUCCGGAAUAAUUGGGCGUAAAGCGUCUGUAGGUGGUUUACCAAGUCUGUUGUUAAAAAUCAGGGCUUAACCCUGAUCCGGCAACAGAAACUAGUAGGCUGGAGUACGGUAGGGGCAGAGGGAAUUCUCGGUGUAGUGGUGAAAUACGUAGAUAUCGAGAAGAACACCAAUAGCGAAAGCACUCUGCUGGGCCGAAACUGACAUUGAGAGACGAAAGCUAGGGAGCGAAAGGG
rnacentral:rRNA from 1 species